rnacentral:lncRNA from 1 species
UUGAAUUUAGUAAAUUUUUUUUAGAAGCUCAGCUUAAAAGCACAUUUAUUUCAAAAAUUUCACAAUAAUUCAAUGAAAAAGAACUGAGAAAUGCCUUUUCAAAUGUGGUUGAUCUAAACUGCCAAGGCAGUCGACUCUACGUACUUGAAAUUCUAUCAAAAUUUUGUCCUUACUCCAAAUAUAGAAAUCCUUAUCUUAUUAAAAAGCUAACACUAAAAAUUACAACCAAAAAAAGAAUUCAUAUCAAAAUUCAAAAAAUUGAAUAAUUGAUUGAG